GAGGGUGUAGCUCAGAGAUAGAGCAUGUGCUUAGCAUGCACAAGGUCCUGGAUUCAAUCCCCAGUACCUCCA
rnacentral:tRNA from 1 species